ensembl:snoRNA
UGUCCCUGACCUAGCUAGAGUUGUCCCGGUUUGGUGGUGCUUGUCUCAUAUCAGCCAGGGACAAAGUAACUCCUUGUUUAUCCCAGCUUGUUCUGUGCCCAUGUCUGGUUCAUGUCCUGGGCACAUGG